rnacentral:rRNA from 1 species
GACGAACGCUGGCGGCGUGCUUAACACAUGCAAGUCGAACGGAAAGGCCCUGCUUUUGUGGGGUGCUCGAGUGGCGAACGGGUGAGUAACACGUGAGUAACCUGCCCUUGACUUUGGGAUAACUUCAGGAAACUGGGGCUAAUACCGGAUAGGAGCUCCUGCUGCAUGGUGGGGGUUGGAAAGUUUCGGCGGUUGGGGAUGGACUCGCGGCUUAUCAGCUUGUUGGUGGGGUAGUGGCUUACCAAGGCUUUGACGGGUAGCCGGCCUGAGAGGGUGACCGGCCACAUUGGGCCUGAGGUACGGCCCAGACUCCUACGGGAGGCAGCAGUGGGGAGUAUUGCACAAUGGGCGGAAGCCUGAUGCAGCAGCGCCGCGUGCGGGAUGACGGCCUUCGGGUUGUAAACCGCUUUCGCCUGUGACGAAGCGUGAGUGACGGUAAUGGGUAAAGAAGCACCGGCUAACUACGUG